CCCGUACCGUGAGGCGUCYGGACUGGCCCAGAGAGGUGGGCAACUACCACUCAGGGCCGGAAAGCUCUCCAAACUSGGUCAUUUAGAGGAAGUAAAAGUCGUAACAAGGUCUCCGUUGGUGAACCAGCGGAGGGAUCAUUACCGAGUUUACAACUCCCAAACCCCUGUGAACAUACCACUUGUUGCCUCGGCGGAUCAGCCCGCUCCCGGUAAAACGGGACGGCCCGCCAGAGGACCCCUAAACUCUGUUUCUAUAUGUAACUUCUGAGUAAAACCAUAAAUAAAUCAAAACUUUCAACAACGGAUCUCUUGGUUCUGGCAUCGAUGAAGAACGCAGCAAAAUGCGAUAAGUAAUGUGAAUUGCAGAAUUCAGUGAAUCAUCGAAUCUUUGAACGCACAUUGCGCCCGCCAGUAUUCUGGCGGGCAUGCCUGUUCGAGCGUCAUUUCAACCCUCAAGCACAGCUUGGUGUUGGGACUCGCGUUAAUUCGCGUUCCUCAAAUUGAUUGGCGGUCACGUCGAGCUUCCAUAGCGUAGUAGUAAAACCCUCGUUACUGGUAAUCGUCGCGGCCACGCCGUUAAACCCCAACUUCUGAAUGUUGACCUCGGAUCAGGUAGGAAUACCCGCUAAACUUWARGCA
rnacentral:rRNA from 1 species